GGUGCUUGAGUGUUGUUUUGGUCAAAUGGCAGAAAAAGUCACAGACAAUUAUAGGAAUAAAUCCUCUUUUAUAACCCAGGACUCAUUGUUCAGUGUGAGUUUUGAUACAUAUGAAAAAGGAAUAUG
ensembl:snoRNA